GCGGGUGUGGCGGAAUGGUAAACGCAUCAGCCUUAGGAGCUGACGCCUAAAGCUUGUAGGUUCGAAUCCUAUCACCCGCACCA
rnacentral:tRNA from 2 species